rnacentral:lncRNA from 1 species
CUUUAAACACAUAUUCUGCUAUGAAAUGUCCUGACCACAUAGCAACAUACCAACUAAAUAGUCAUAAUAUUUAAUUUAGAUAAGGGCACUAUAUAAAAAUCUUUUUUUGAAAAAUCUGGCCUGCAUCAAUCUAGCAUGCCAUGAGGACAAGGAAUGUAACUGAUAUUUUAGAAAUAAACCUCUACAGGACCAGUGCCAUGGUUUGGCAUCAUUUCUAACUGGUCCUUGGACAUGUGAUAUUAGUGCGGAACCUGUUUAUUUGACAUUAUCAACUACACAUAGCUUUGUUUUGCUAUAAGAAUGAGCACGUGUAUUAUAAUGUAUAUACCGCCAAUAUAUUCUGCAGUGCUUUACACAUAUAGAAUUAUAUAUAUUUAAUUUGGGGAUAAGAUCAGAUUGUUGUGAAUUACUAUAAAUUACCUUUAAGGAGUUGAGUACACAUGUACAUAAGCACACACAGACGUCAAUUUACUAAAUACCGAAUUGUAAUGGAUUUAAAACUGAAUAGCAAAAUGCAAGCUGUGAUCGGCUAAAUAGGAGAAUUUUUCCAAAUAAAUACUUUACAUUUUCCCUACAUUUUGCAGUUCAAAUUCCAAUUCACUACAAUUAUUUUUCUUAGUUUACACAUUUAUAUACAGGUUGUCAUAUUUGCAAUAUCAUAUACAGCACAUUUUCCUUUUAAAGUGUAAAAUUAGUGUCUGGGGUGUAAUCCUACUCUUGUCAAACUGCAUCCUUUACCAGAAUUACAUGAAUCAGCAGACAUUUAACAAAUAGCAAGUAGGAUUUGCAUUUAAAUGGAUUAGCAAAUUUGAAUCUAGUGCGAUUAAUGUCACACUCCUCCUGAGCUUUUCUGGAAAUAAGUGCUCCCAGAAGGGGAUGCUAGAAUAUCAACUCAAAUUGGCAGAACUAGAAAUAAAUAUCAAGACUGUGUUGAUGAAUUAGGGACAUUUGGGAUGUAUAUGGUUAAUUAUAAAUGGUUUUGAUAUUGGACUGUAGACUUUAGGGGGAACUUCUUUUUAUCAUUUGCUCUGUAAAUAACAGCUUGAAGUAAAUUGUAAGUAUAUGAUUAGUUUAGCCCUUAAGGAGACAGCUUCAGAAGUAAAAUGCCAACACGGAACAUUUCCAUCAUGUGUCCCUAGGGGGUAAAAAGCAAAGUUGCCUUAGGUAAUCUGUGGACAUCAGACUGCAGUAAAUUUCAAUCCGAGAAUUACUAAAAUCUAAGAUAGGUUACCCGUUUGCCCCUCUCUGCCCCACUUCAUUUUUCAUUUCGGAAUGGUUAAUGGUAUAGAUUGUUAAUAAAGAAUCUUGAUUUUAAAUACUAUGUAACAACCCCAGUUAUUGGUAUGAUUCUACAAAAACAGGCAACUUCUACUGCAGGGGGCAACUUCCAUAGUGAGUCAGGUAUUACCUAUACUAGCAAAUAAUAGCAUGUUUUGUAAUAUAUGAUAACAACUGCAGAAUCUGUUGACGCUAUAUAAAUGGCAAUAAUAAUAAUAAUGUACCUUGUCUAUGCCAUUAUUUUGAUCAUUAAAGUAUAACACCUUCAAUACAUUGCAUUAAAAAUAGCUGCUGAGAGUAACUGUUCGGGAAUAUUUGAAAGAGAGAGGCAUAGAGAGAUAUUUUUAACUCUUUCAGGUACAAGGAUAACUUUAGUACUGUAACAUUCUAUUUAUCCUAAGUUUAAAAGCAAAAUGUUUAUACUUUAUGAUUUAACAAUAUAUAAGGAGACAUGUAUUUGUAGCUUAAAACUCCUGCAAGUAUCUGUAUAUGUUUCAGUGACGUGACCAUUGCAUGCAAUAAAUCCCAUCUCCAUAUUGCUAAAUGCUAAGCCAAAACAUUCAGCGUAAAGGUAGCAAUGGCGGCAGCCACUUCCUGGCGUUCUAUUCACUAAGUAGUGAAUGUUGCGAAUUGAGAAACCAACUUGUAGAAUUUAAAACAAUGAAGGCCAUUUUUUGGGAUAGGGCUAAAUUUCAGUAAUUGACUGUCAACUCACCACUGCUCACUCAGGUUUAUUUCCUAAAUAAACAAUAUAUAGGCCACAAAAAACAAUUUACCUGCUUUUUUUCUACCCUGGGUUAUUUUGGCCUAAAUGUUCUGAAUUGGGUCUCAGUUUACGAUAACUCACUGAUUAAACCCAGUGUAGUGUUAUAGUCCCUGCUGCAAAUGAAGAUGAAAUAUGAUUGUAUAUUUUGACGAUCUUUCAACUCUGUUAUAUUCAAAACAAAAUAAAAGCCUGAUAUACAAGAAAUAUGAUUGUAAUGUUCUUGACGGUCUUUGGCAGGGGUAGGCAAAAUUCGGCACUCAAGAUGUUAUGGACUCAAUCACCUUCAAAGCUUUUCCAGCAUUAUGGCAGAUGUAGUCAACGUCAUCUGGAAUGCCGAAGGUUGCGUACCCCUGGUCUAUGGGUAAUAUUGACUUAGCUAUGUCAGUACAAUUCUGGAUUACACUUCCCAAGAUGCCCAGUUAUGGAGCCAAUGUUACAAAGAAAAUUGAAUUUUUACAAUUAUUAACAAAAAUUUCAACCUUCAGAAAUUCAAAAUGAAUUUCAAUUUUUUUAAUAGCCUUGGUGAAAACAUAGAUGACUGGGAUAUUUUUUUCCUCUUCGGAAAUGUUGGCUUAUAAAUGUAAAUUUCACUUUAACAGUUUACAUUUUGGUGAAUAAGCCUGUGGUUGUCUUGGUCUGUUUACUAGUUAUUUAUACAAUAAAUAGAUGAUGGCAGUGAAUUCAAGCACAGGAAGGCCGUAUCACUGUGACAAGUUUGCAAGUUAAUGACACUAGCUGGUUUUAAUCCAUUGCACAUACAUUUCACACAGUGCGUGUAACGUGUGACGUGUAUGUGUAGAGUGUGGAAUCACAGAGGAAUUUAGGAUGUAAUGAUGGCAGGAAUGUAUUAUGUUUUCUGUGAGUAUAUAGCAGUUACAUUUGACAACAGUCAGUAGCAAGACAAAUGUCCACACUGUGUAAAAAUAGUAAUGGGACAUUAACGACAUCAUGCACAAAAUGUGUGCGUGAAAAAGUCAGCUUUAGCUAAGUAACAUUCUAUUAACAGAAAACGGACAUCAUUUAUUUUAAUUGCUUAAAAUCAAGCAUAGAAUGUUUUUAGUUCCUGUUUAUUGUAUAAUUUUGUAAUGUAUACAUAUGAGUAAAUUAACUCUUUUUCAGUAGUAAUUAAAAGUGGUGACCAUUUCCCUGUAUUUGAGUAAUAUUCUCACCCAUACCUCCUAACAUUUCUAAUGUACAGGGGCACUUUAAUAUUAGGGGGGGAGGGAAGUUAAUAGGGGUGGGCUGCUCUGAGAAAAUGUAGGUUACUUAUAACAAUGUAUGCAACUACAAUGAUUUUUAUUUAAAAAAGACUGAUUUCUAAACACAUUUAUUGUAAUUCAAGGACACACAUGCUAAGGAGCUCUGUUAUACCGACUCAGACACACCAAGAAUAUAAUGCUCCUAGAAAAGAGGGACAUUAGGAUAGAAAAGAGGGACAGAUGGAUUUGAGCUCAAAAUAAGGACUGUCCCUUCUAAACAGGGACACAUGGAAGGUAUGUACUCACCUGUAAUUUGGAGUGGGUCAGUGCAGACAAAAAGAUCCACAUACGGUAACUAUAUAUUGUGGCAGCGAAAUCUGGAGACACAGUAAAUCUUAAAUGUUAUGUUUACCUGAAUUCUGAACCUGGGCCUCUCUUGUGUGUUUUGCACACAAUAAUUACCAUAGUUGUCCCCUAGAUAACUCUCAAUAGUCCCAGUUUAAAAUCUAGUCGUGUACCACAACCCUGUCUUCUUAAAUUAUGAAACUAGAGAAUGACAUCCAAAUGCACUGCACAAGGGUGUCCUUCUACACGAUAAUUGCCAAUCAUUUCCCACCAUCUGAGAGAUCUUUAAUGUGCACAUAUGAUGGGGUGACACAUCCCUUUUUUUGUUAUACCUUACAUUGUCCAUUGAUGGCAUGGCUUCUUUCUUGCUAUACGCUCUAGUCCCACUUUCAGUCAUCGGAUUGUUGGCAGAUACUCACACACACACACAUUAAAAGUACUAAAAUAACAUUUCAUCUAUACAUGUGCUAGCAACCUUACAAGCAAACUGCAUGGGUCAAAUUGUAUACUCUGUAUUGUCAUAUUUGCAAGACAGAUGUUCUUUAUUGAUAUCGAUUCCCAAAUAAAGAUAUUGAUCCAGUCAACGUGGUGAGAUCAUGCCUGCAAUAAAGAAAGACUAGUCUUUGUUGAUUCUCUCAGCAUACUAAUGUAAUUCUUUUGAUACCAAUGUGUUAACCACUGUCAUUUUGUUUAACUUCUUGUUUUGGUUCUGGGGACCACAGCUUGCUGCAUUGUAUCCAUUUUUACAAUCCCCUCUGGUACCAAAGGGGUUAAACAACUAUUUUUGAAGGGCUAAUAAAUAUGAUUAUUUUUUUUUUUUCCAUUAUAUUAUUUUCCUUACCUCGUAUGACAUUCCUCCUAUUCAUGGUCUUGUCUUUCGCUAUGUUUAUACUUUUCACAUGUUCAUGGCCUGUAAACUCGGACUAAUGAAUGCCCUUUUGGUAAUUUAACAGGGCUGCUAUAUAAAUAAAUGAAAUUAUGAUGUGGGCUGUAUCUCUAAAAGUUGCAAUCAUUCAUAUAUAAUGCUUUUGUUUUCUUCCAAUAAAUAUUCUUGUACUCUGCAAA